GCCCGCUGAGGGAGAGACGAAGAGAACAGCUGAUAAAUGGAGCCUCAUCCCCCAGAACCUGACUCUCUGAGAGCCGCCCUCCCAGCCAGCAUGAGCGAUGGAUCGCCCUCCAGAAAGAACCAUCUGAUCCCAGUCGGAAGCUACACAGCACAAACGGCACCGAAAUGGCUUUCGGGAUGGCAAGUCUCCUUCAGCAGAACGUGUCCAGCCUUCUAUAUAAAAAUGUUAAAGACGGGUGUAUUUACGGGUGAGUGUGUGUUUGAAUGUGUUCAUGUGUGUAGAGGUUUGGGGAUAAUUGGGCAGAGAAUGUUGUAAUAAUAAAUAAGAAAAAAUCUGUG